GAUGAACGCUGGCGGCGUGCCUAAUACAUGCCAGUCGAGCGAACAGACGAGGAGCUUGCUCCUCUGACGUUAGCGGCGGACGGGUGAGUAACACGUGGAUAACCUACCUAUAAGACUGGGAUAACUUCGGGACACCGGAGCUAAUACCGGAUAAUAUAUUGAACCGCAUGGUUCAAUAGUGAAAGACGGUUUUGCUGUCACUUCUAGAUGGAUCCGCGCCGCAUUAGCUAGUUGGUAAGGUAACGGCUUACCAAGGCAACGAUGCGUAGCCGACCUGAGAGGGUGAUAGGCCACACGGGAACUGAGACACGGUCCAGACUCCUACGGGAGGCAGCAGUAGGGAAUCUGCCGCAAUGGGCGAAAGCUUGACGGAGCAACGCCGCGUGAGUGAUGAAGGUCUUCGGAUCGGAAAACUCUGUUAUUAGGGAAGAACAAAUGUGUAAGUAACUAUGCACGUCUUGACGGUACCUAAUCAGAAAGCCACGGCUAACUACGUG
rnacentral:rRNA from 1 species